ACAAGCGGUGGAUGAUGUGGAUUAAUUCGAUGCAACGCGAAAACCUUACCUACCCUUGACAUGUCCGGAAUCCCGAAGAGAUUUGGGAGUGCUCGCAAGAGAACCGGAACACAGGUGCUGCAUGGCUGUCGUCAGCUCGUGUCGUGAGAUGUUGGGUUAAGUCCCGCAACGAGCGCAACCCUUGUCAUUAGUUGCCAUCAUUUGGUUGGGCACUCUAAUGAGACUGCCGGUGACAAACCGGAGGAAGGUGGGGAUGACGUCAAGUCCUCAUGGCCCUUAUGGGUAGGGCUUCACACGUCAUACAAUGGUCGGUACAGAGGGUUGCCAACCCGCGAGGGGGAGCUAAUCCCACAAAGCCGAUCGUAGUCCGGAUCGCAGCCUGCAACUCGACUGCGUGAAGUCGGAAUCGCUAGUAAUCGUGGAUCAGCAUGUCACGGUGAAUACGUUCCCGGGUCUU
rnacentral:rRNA from 1 species